AGCUUUGUGGCCUAAUGGUUAGCGUGUUGGACUCCGGAUCGAGCGGUCCGGGUUCGAGUGCUGGUGCCCGGCCGGGUCA